AUCAGUAACUGUUGAGUCGUUACGUUGCGAUGUACGUUCUUUGGUAAAGUCGUGAUAAAUUAUUAUUGUAACUUAAUUUUCACUUCCAAGACUGUGUCUCCAUUGUGAUUGAAUGCAUUACGGACUAAUGCCGCUGUUAUUUCAAGAAAUCCACUUGUUACAACAAAUAAGGAUGAAAUAAAGCAGCAACGUAUAUUAAAAAGGGCUUUCGAUGUUUGGGUCUUCAGAAACUUAUAUAUGGACUUUGUAAAAUUCAGGUAAACCUAUUCUUCAGUGAGGUACAUAGUCAUAAAUCUUCUCCUAUACUGGUACGGUGAGUCCGUUUUAAUUAUUUUUAUUACAAAAUGCAUAUAUUCAUGCGUUUUUAUUUUCCGCCGUAUUAAAAAUAUAAUCAGGAUGAUCCAGCCGAGAUUUGUAUUUAUACGGACAGUAUGCGCGUAGAAAACGGUAAAAAUCACUGCGUCUUUGCCUGCGAUUAGACUGAGAUUUGAAAUAUUUUGGUUCAUGUAACUAAACCGCUUCUGAGGUCGAUCGCGCCUUUACAUUGUAGGUUUCCCUUUAUUUCCUCAGAUAACUGUGACCCAGUUUACGUUUUUCUUUAUGAGUACUUUCUUAGUGGAUGCAGAUUCCGAUGAAUUCACGUUUGACGGAAUAUAUCAAUUUAAUCAGGUUCUAUAUAUGGCGGCACUCGACAGCACAAAUACCACCACUCGAUACUAAAACCGAAGAACGGCAGCGCGGUGGUUAGCGCAUUAGGUUACGAACGUUCGGGACCCGAGUUUAAAUCCCGGAGCCCGUAGUCCGAUUUUUCUUCCACGAUUCUUAAAUUUUUUUUUUUUUUAUUUGAUAGACUAUUUACAAUCAAUUCUCGUUGAGAAUUUUCAGUAACUUCA